AAAAAAACUCAUUUUUCAGGGCACAUGCUUAGCUUACAAUCCAAUGCUCGUUAACAAUAAUGAAUUACAACAAGGAUAUACUAUUUUACUUCUACAUUCUGCCUGAUAUUGCAAUAAAUUGGAAGGGGCAACCUUGUUUCUCCGUUGUCUUAUGCAUAAAUUCCACCGCUGGUCACGCUGCAAAGACCAAAAAUAAUGCAGCUCACGAGCAAAGCGGCUGCUGAGACUUUAUCAAUGGGAUAAUGAUCAGUCACUAGAGAAAUCUGAAACUGCUGAGUCUGUGCCUUCCUCAUUCUCUAUCUUAUUUCCUACUCCAUCUGAACCCUCACUUAUCUCUAUGUCUCCCUCUGACUCUUCAGCUCCCAUUUCUUCAAUGCCAUUAUCAUCUCCGGAAGCAUCUCCAUCAUCAUCACUCACUUCCAUUACAGUUCUAUUCCACCUAUUGGAGGCUCCAUUAAAACUUUGCUCCCAAUUUCUUUGCUCAUAUCCCUCUGCUUCAACAUUAUCAUCAGAUUCUCCUGCUUCCACACUGUUAUUAUCAGCAUCAUCUAAAUCUACAUCUACAUCCACAUCCACAUCCACAUCCACAUCCACAUCCAUACCCACAUCCGCAUCCGUCCUGACUUUUUCAGCGCCCCAAUUUUCCUCACCCAAGUUCCUUAAUGAUCCACCAUAGCUCCUUGGGCCAACAGUGCUUGUCAUGCGACCAAUCAAUGGCUCCUCAGCUACCAUCAUUUCUACCCUCCUCCUCCUAACUGUUCGAAGACCACGACCAGAAGAUUUAGCAUUUGUCCUUCGCCCCUGUUUAGAUCCUAGAUUAAAUUUACCAGUUUCCCUAACAUUACGCCUAUUUGAAUAAGAUUUAAGACCAGGCACUCUUCUUUGCCACUUUGUAGCAUAUCCUUGAUCACGGCCUCCUCGCCCACGUUUGUAGCUGCUACGUUUGCUUCGCAAGUCAGUUAAGUGCUCUUCUUUGACAUGUUCAUGUUGCCUCGGUCCUUUUAGUUCAAUCUCUUUAUUCUUGAGGGGAGAGUAUCUCGAAGGAAGCUUCUGCAUACAAGUGGAAGGAAUUACCUAAUCAAUUAAAAAAAUCUCCAGGAUUGUGCAUUUUUAAGGAGAUAAGCCAACACCAACACAUGGCCACAUACAACUUAAUAUCUGUUCUGCCAGCCUACCUCAUAGAAGCACCCACCCCCCAUGCUUAAGUACACCAAAUUUUCCUCAAUAUAGGCAGGCCAUGAAAAAGAUGAUGAAAAGAAAGAAAAAAGAAGUAAAUGAAGAAGCAAAAGGAAGAAAUUGAGGGUGAGGAGAAAAAACUGACCAUAUAUACUUUAACUGGCUUGUCUUCACUAAGUUCAGCCUUUUCAUGCUGAAUGUAUGCAACCGAACCAUCAAGCUCAAAAAGCCUCAGAGCCACAGCGGCAGUGGUUUUUGGUAUCCAGGGAAGCACAGGAACUGAUCCUAGGUCAGUAGAACCAUAUAAUGCACUCUGUGCUGAAGUGGCAGAACCCAAUAAUUCUUUUGUCAUCUCAAAGUUGGCAGAUAAAUAAUCUCGUUUUAUGGCACUCUCAAGCACAGUCAAUAUCUGCAGGAGUUCCUCAGUUGAUGAUGACAUGUUCAACUUUGUGGCCCAGGUCUUUCUGUGGUUUUCAAUCCAAAAUGACUCUCGAGCUUCUGGUGGAACAGAUGCCUCAAUGAAAGCUAACAGAGCCUUAAGCAAUCUGAUUCCCAGAGGUAGAGAAGUAUCACAAACCCCAGGGUCUAAUUUCCUUUUAACUUUACACUGAAUCCCAUGUUCUAAAAAAUUAAAACUUUUAUCAGCAGCAUUGAGCGUCUGGUGGCAAGAAACAGAGUCACUGUCCUCAGCUAGAUAAGAAUCAAAACACACGUCACAAGUGGUCAACAGCUGUGAACACCUUUUCUUCCCAUAUUUCAUGGCACACAAUGUUAAGGAAUUGAAGCAUUCCUUCCAUGUCCACUUCUGAAAAUCUUGGUACCUUUUCAUGGCACCUUUCUGUUCCAUUUCAUUUCUCCCAAGCUCAAUUCUAAACAAAGAAGACGUAUCCAAGGCAUCUGAGCUCGAACCACAAACCAUACUGCUAGGACUGCCAAUGCCAGCCGAGCAAUUAGGGCUAGAAUCAGCUUCACCGACUUCAUUUUCAGCAGCAAUUCCAUUUUGACACACAAUGUUUUCAGACUGGAAGUUUCUUCGGACAUUUUGUUUGAAGGAUUUCUCAAUCUUUUGCAACAUUAUACGCAAAUGGGAUUCCCUAAUGCCGCGAGUAUCCAAUGAUGACAAAAGGGCAUCAAAGGCCUCUUCAGAGUCAAUAAGCCUCCAAUUGCCAUCAUUUAAUUCAACAAAGAUUCUACCAGAACAAGGAUCAUUUUUAGAAGCAGAUGCUACAAACUGCCAGUAUCGAUUAUGUCUGCGGUCUUGUCCAAGAGGCAAGGACCUGUAGACAUAUGUCUCUUCCGCUAUGUGGCCAAUAUAAGCUUUCAGUUGUGAGCGUGACCUUUUUGAAGCAUAUCCAUGUUGCUGACUUGAGAAGUUAUCCGGAUUCACGGAGAGAUCUUGAACCAUCAAGGUUUUUUCAGUAGGAACACUGUUGUGGUGAUUCUGUACAUUUCUUGAAGCAGGCAACGGCUUUUGGUCUACUGCAGUGCUUGGAGAUGCCUCCUUAUUUUUACUAUCAUCAAGGGGCAAUGGGCUUUGGCCGCCCUCCACUACAGAACUAGUUACUUGUAUUUCAGCUUUGCCCCCAAUAAAAGAUGGGAAAUCUAAUUUACUCACAAUAUCUUCUUUCAAGCGACUUCUGUCUAAUUGUGCCUCAGCCCACAUUUGCUUUUUAAGAGCAUUUGCAGCCUCCAAACGAUCCUCAAGUACAGCACGAAUGGUAUUUCCUUCAUUUGCAAUACCAACCAAUGCAACAAGGGAAUUAAGACGCUCCUCAACACUUAGAUGAGCAUAUUCCCCUUCUGCAAGUCCUUGAAUCCAUGAUUCACCUGACUUGCUUUCAUCAAUCUCAAUAUUUUCCUGAUCUAUAUUUCUUACCCCAACAUCUCCAUGAGGAACACGUUGCUCAACGCUACUUAGAGUCUUUGCAUCCUUUGGACCAUUCAGAUGGACAGAUGAAGAUUCUUUGACAGGCUCAUUUUGUUCAAUUAAUGGAAUACCAUUGCAGAUACUAUUUUUUCCACUUCCUGAGCAAGUAUUUGCUUCACUAGACUUGUCUGCACUUCUGGUAGCACUCAAUGGAAUAGCUAAAUCAUCAACUUCAGGGUCCUCAUCAACAUCACCUUCAGAAUCUUCAUCUCUUUCAGCAUCAUCAGCAUCUUCUCCACCUAAAAACCCAUUUUCAAAUACCUGAAUUUUCUUUCUGGCAGCUGAAAGUAUUGCCUCACCAUCAGCUGGAUCUUUUCUGUAAGCAGCCCGUAAACAAUAUGUCGAAGGAGCAAUUCUUUCAAAAAGCUUUUGAUCCCUUGUCAAGGCAACAGAUAUAGAUGCCUCUGGUGUCUUGCUUGUUGUCAGGUCCCGAAGCCCAGAUUUCUGAAUCUUAUCUGCAAGUUCUAACACAGUUAAACCCUUGCUUCCCUCAAGUGAAAGAACAUGGAAAGCUGCAAACUUAACCGUUCCAGGUGUCAACCGGUGCCUAGAUCUUCGAGGAAGUAAUAAGCCCCUCUCCCGCAUUAGUGAAAAUGCAUUUUCAGCUGCUGACCCAUUGCGUAGUGUAGAAAUGGUAUCUUCACAACCUUUAACCUCAUCAUUGUCACCCAAGUAUGUCCUUGUUGAACUCCUUUUCUUCAACCGUGGCCCAAAUCCUGCAGACAAUGCUAAUUGUCGGAAUAUUUCAGGCCACGUUAGUGGAUUUAAGUGUCGCUGCCAGUUGCGUAUGUCAAAGCCCCAUAUAUAUGCCCCUUCAACAAUCUGCAGAUGUCCACCUUCAGGAUUAGCAGCACAAUAUUGAUUUGCGCCCAAUCCAGUAGAGGGUGUCCUGGCAACAUCUUCAAUAUCUUUGAUUAUCAAUUUCAGAAGAGCCAAAUGUACCUCACCCAGCAACCUUGAAUCAUAGUCGUGAAAAGCUUGAACAAACUCAUCAAGGGUAAAAGGCCAUAACCCAAGGACAUCAGCAAAAGUAAUAAAAAAUUUCCAUACCAUCAGAAGAUUCCCAAUAUUUUCCUCUGAAUCAAUCCAAGGUUGAAUAGCAAAUGGUUUUUUCAAUUGUAUGGACUCUGGUGGGAAUAUGCUCAAAGAGUCUCUGAAUGAAUCAAGGUUUUGCAAAGUAUCAUAGUUGAGGUGAACUACUGAGGUUAGCCCCUUGCUUGCAGCAGCCAAUUCCAUGAGUUCCAACUGCUCAUCCUCUAUAAGAUCCAAAGAUUCCUUAGCAAUUCUGCGUGCAGUUGCCUUCUCAAUUGCAGCUUGGCGCUUCACUGCCUCUUUCUCUCUCCGAAGUUCCUCCUUUUGCCUCUUUUUCUCAGCUCUUAAGUACUCUUUCUGUAAAAACUUUUCCCUGCGCUCAAGUUCACGUUUUUGCUCACGCAGUGAUCUCUCCUCCUCUCGCUGCCUUUCACGCAUUAAUCUGUCUUCUUCCUUCCGUCUUUCACGCUCCUGCUUUUCCAUUUCUUUCCUCAUUCGUUCUUCACUCUUCCGCCUCAGUUGAUCCUGUUUCUCAAGCUCUUUGCGGAUCUGAUUUUCACGAGCUUCAACUUCCCUUGUAAUUCUAGCUUCAUCAUUCUUGCAUUUCUUCCCAAUCCGCAGAUCUGUAUCAGUAUGGAAGAUUUGUGCAUCAGGAAAAAUAUCUGGAUUUUGCGAUCCCAUAAUUUGGUGAACAGUAGAAUGAGCACCUAUUCUAUUGUUUGUAACUGAUUCAUGAUGAAGGAGAUAGUCAUCAUCCCUGUGAAGUGAUGAAAGGGCAUGUCCCUUCUUGUCUGGUUGAGACAAAUGGCGAACACCUUGAACCUUGGCCAAUGGUUCAUCUUCAUGAAUAAUUGAUGCUUUACCCCUCGGAAUAUCAACUGAAGGAUCGCGAUAAGGAGAUUGAUCAACUUGUCCAUAUGCAUCAGAUCUAAUACUGGACUGGUCUUGGAGAAACUGAUACUCAUGAAAAGCCCUUGCAGAUACUUUGCUGGAUUUUGCAUCAUGUCGCUCGUAUACUUCGCCAGCAUAAGAAUGCAUUGGCCGCUUCUGCUGCUCCGCCAUUGCUAUAGGCGCCCCAAAUGCAUCAGGUGGCAAUGGAUCAAACUCCAUCCCAAGAAUUGGCCCAUCCUCCCUCAAUGGCUCGCCCAAUUGUGCCUCCACACAUGCAAUAGCUCUAAGCUCCAUAACUGACUGAGGCGAGGAUUCAUAGUACCUCCUUAUCAUUGGCAUAUCAUCCAAAGACACCUUCCUUGGCUCCAUAAAUGGGCUAGAGCCUGAACCUGAGCCAGACCCAUAGUCACUUCCAGGCUCAGGCUCAGGCUCAGGCGCCAUUGCCCUCAUCUCCUCCACAGGAGAUUCCAAUGGCACUGCCUUACAGGGUUUCUUGGCAGGAGUCUCCUUUUUGUCCUUCAAUCUCCUGUGACAAAACCACAUCUGCAGUUGCCUAUCAGAGAGACCUAACUUCUGUGAUAAGUCUGCCCGCAUGGCCUCUGAUGGAUAUGCCUCCAAAGCAUAAGCCUUUUCAAGAGCUUCGAGUUGGAAGGGAGUCUUCAUCUGGCGUUUGGGCCUGCUGUGUCCUUCAUUAGAAUUCCCAAUAUUGUUGUUGGCGCUGCUGCCUCUAUUCUGAUUCUCACCUUCAGAAUUCGACUCCAUUGAAGCGAUCGCGAUCACAGAAUCAACAAAUCGAAAGAAUUAGGGUUACCAAAACACAAUCAAAAAGAGAAAGACAUAGAGAGAAAGGUAAAAAAUAAAAUAAAUCGUGAAAAUUGCUAUUUGUUUGGCUUUCUCUCUCUCUAUUGUAUUAAGAAUUAAAUAUCGUAAUAGUCAAGAAAGAGAAAGUUGGAUUCAAUUAACAUUUUCGUUUAUCUGAUUCGGAAAUAAGAGAUUUCAAUGAGAAAAAGAAUAAAUAAAAAUUCUAAUUAUUAUGAUUAUUAUUAUUAUUUUCUUUUUUGAAAAAUGAUUCAUUGCACACAAUUUAAGAACAAGGGAAUGAAUAUGUUUGAUGAAAACGGUUGAAAGCUUGUGUACACUGAAUAGGCUCCCUUU
rnacentral:misc_RNA from 1 species